rnacentral:rRNA from 1 species
CCAGACUCCUACGGGAGGCAGCAGUAGGGAAUCUUCGGCAAUGGACGGAAGUCUGACCGAGCAACGCCGCGUGAGUGAAGAAGGUUUUCGGAUCGUAAAGCUCUGUUGUAAGAGAAGAACGAGUGUGAGAGUGGAAAGUUCACACUGUGACGGUAUCUUACCAGAAAGGGACGGCUAACUACGUGCCAGCAGCCGCGGUAAUACGUAGGUCCCGAGCGUUGUCCGGAUUUAUUGGGCGUAAAGCGAGCGCAGGCGGUUAGAUAAGUCUGAAGUUAAAGGCUGUGGCUUAACCAUAGUACGCUUUGGAAACUGUUUAACUUGAGUGCAAGAGGGGAGAGUGGAAUUCCAUGUGUAGCGGUGAAAUGCGUAGAUAUAUGGAGGAACACCGGUGGCGAAAGCGGCUCUCUGGCUUGUAACUGACGCUGAGGCUCGAAAGCGUGGGGAGCAAACAGGAUUAGAUACCCUGGUAGUCCACGCCGUAAACGAUGAGCGCUAGGUGUUAGACCCUUUCCGGGGCUUAGUGCCGCAGCUAACGCAUUAAGCACUCCGCCUGGGGAGUACGACCGCAAGGUUGAAACUCAAAGGAAUUGACGGGGGCCCGCACAAG